rnacentral:rRNA from 1 species
UCCCAGUUCGGAUUGUAGUCUGCAACCCGACUACAUGAAGCCGGAAUCGCUAGUAAUCGCGGAUCAGAAUGCCGCGGUGAAUACGUUCCCGGGUCUUGUACACACCGCCCGUCACACCAUGGGAGUCGGGGCGCCCGAAGCCACUUAGCUAACCCAUUUGGGAAGCGAGUGUCGAAGGUGAAAUCAAUAACUGGGGUGAAGUCGUAACAAGGUACC